rnacentral:rRNA from 1 species
UGGGGAAUUUUGGACAAUGGGCGAAAGCCUGAUCCAGCAAUGCCGCGUGUGUGAAGAAGGCCUUCGGGUUGUAAAGCACUUUUGUCCGGAAAGAAAUCCUUGGCUCUAAUACAGUCGGGGGAUGACGGUACCGGAAGAAUAAGCACCGGCUAACUACGUGCCAGCAGCCGCGGUAAUACGUAGGGUGCAAGCGUUAAUCGGAAUUACUGGGCGUAAAGCGUGCGCAGGCGGUUUGCUAAGACCGAUGUGAAAUCCCCGGGCUCAACCUGGGAACUGCAUUGGUGACUGGCAGGCUAGAGUAUGGCAGAGGGGGGUAGAAUUCCACGUGUAGCAGUGAAAUGCGUAGAGAUGUGGAGGAAUACCGAUGGCGAAGGCAGCCCCCUGGGCCAAUACUGACGCUCAUGCACGAAAGCGUGGGGAGCAAACAGGAUUAGAUACCCUGGUAGUCCACGCCCUAAACGAUGUCAACUAGUUGUUGGGGAUUCAUUUCCUUAGUAACGUAGCUAACGCGUGAAGUCGACCGCCUGGGGAGUACGGUCGCAAGAUUAAAACUCAAAUGAAUUGACGGGGUCAUAGCUGUUUCCU